rnacentral:rRNA from 1 species
UACGUAGGGUGCGAGCGUUAAUCGGAAUUACUGGGCGUAAAGUGUGCGCAGGCGGCCGAGCAAGUCGAGUGUGAAAUCCCCGGGCUUAACCUGGGAAUUGCGCUUGAAACUAGCGGGCUUGAGUGUGGCAGAGGGGGGUGGAAUUCCACGUGUAGCAGUGAAAUGCGUAGAGAUGUGGAGGAACACCGAUGGCGAAGGCAGCCCCCUGGGUCAACACUGACGCUCAUACACGAAAGCGUGGGGAGCAAACAGG